UCUCAACGCAGGAACGUCCACCUUUGCAAGACGGGAAAAUAUGGAUUCUGCGGGGCCGACAGACUAAGUGAGACAUUUAUCAAGGGGCCCCAGAUUCUCCUCCUUUUAUCUGAUAGAUGUUUGUGAGUGUCCACUGGGAUCAAGGCUCUAUGAUGGGUGAAGAAGACAGACAGAAAUUCCUGUGUACCGUCAGCUCCUGGGCUGGUUUUCCCUCAUGCACUGAAGACCUCUUCCCCCAGAAGGCUGGCCGUUCCGCUGUGUGCUUCUGCAUGUGGAAGCCACAAAUACACGUCACUUCAGCUCCAGUUCUGUCCUCAGAUCCCAGAGUGUUCACUCACACUAGCUUGCAACAUGGACCCUGGCAGUGAAGUCUUUCUCCUUAAGCCUCAAAUUCCUCAUCGGUAAAAUGACAAUAACUCUACCUACUUGAGAGGUUUGCUGGGAGACCUACGUGAGAUAAGGGAUGUAAGACUCCUAGCUCACAUUACCUGGCAUGUGGAAGGCACCAAAUACACAAAUGUUGUUUUCUAUAACCCUGGUUUUAGUACAGAUUACCAGGCAUGUGAUAAUAUGGUUACUUGGUAAAUGUUUUUGGAUUGGAAAGAUGUGGUAUGUUGUGGAAAUAUUAAUCAGGAUUUUCUUGAGAGGAAAAGAACCAAUAGGCUAUCUAUACAUCUAUACAACUCUCUCUCCCUUUCUCUCUCUCUAUCAGGAGAUUGAUUUAUCUUAAGGAGUUGGCUCGUGGGAUUGCAGGUAUGGGCCAGUCCGAAAUCCAGAGGGUAGGCUGUGUGAUUGGAAAUCCAAAUAAGAAUUGAUGUUGCAGUCUUGAGUCUGAAAUCUGCAGGCUGGCCGGCAUGCUGAGAGCUCAGGCGGGGUUUCUAUGUUGCAGUCUUUGGGCCGAGUAGUUUCUUCCUUGGGAGGCCUGAGCCUCGGUCUUCGCUCUUAAGGCCUUCAACCGAUUGGAUGAAGCCUGCCCCCAUUGUGGAGGGGUAUAUGCUUUACUUAAAGUCUCCUGAUUGUAAAUGUUAAUCACAUCCACAAAUACCUUCCCUGCAACAUCUACAGUAGUGUUUGACCAAACGACUGGCACCAUAGCCUAGCCGAGUUGACGUGUGACACUAACCAUCACAGUGGGGAAACCGUACACUGAGGGACAUCCCCUCCCCCACUGAAGCUCUGGCCAGUGCUCUUUCUGGAUUCACUCAUGUCUGGUGUCUUUUUCCUCUCUUUGGAAGCUACAUAUGAUGCAGGAAAUUUGAGGCCGUGAUGUAUUAAGCAGGUUUGUUGUAACAUCCUUAUCCCUCUGGGGCAGGUGACUGCUGAAGGAACGAAAUGGGGUGAGAUGAUGAGGGAAGGGAAGUCGCAUUUACUGCCCCAGCUGCUCCCCUCUCCCCACAGAGGGGACUUCUCUAGGCUUCAUUGUCCUUGAUGUUUCUGUAAAGGAUCAUGAGUAGCUUUGUGAGUGUGGUUUGAGAAACUAGUGGUGCACCUAGAGAUAGGACAGCAAAAUAUUUCAUUUCACAGAGUCAGCAGAGGGAAAAAGAGAGAAAAAAGUGAUGAAAACACGGGCCAGUUGUGAGUUGAUGUCUCCAAAGGUUCAAUGGUUCUUCAUACAAAAGUGUUUGUGUGGCCAGGUGCUGUGGCUCCCGCCUGUAAUCCUAGCAGGCCGA